rnacentral:tRNA from 3 species
CCCGCGUUAGCUCAAUUGGAUGAGAGCACUGGCCUACGAAGCCUGGGGUUACACGUUCGAAUCGUGUGCGCGGGACCA